rnacentral:rRNA from 1 species
AACCAGCACCUCAAGUGGUCAGGAUGAUUAUUGGGCCUAAAGCAUCCGUAGCCGGCGCUAUAAGUUUUCGGUUAAAUCUGUACGCUCAACGUACAGGCUGCCGGGAAUACUGUAGCGCUGGGGAGUGGGAGAGGUAGACGGUACUCGGUAGGAAGGGGUAAAAUCCUUUGAUCUAUUGAUGACCACCUGUGGCGAAGGCGGUCUACCAGAACACGUCCGACGGUGAGGGAUGAAAGCUGGGGGAGCAAACCGGAUUAGAUACCCGGGUAGUCCCAGCUGUAAACUAUGCAAACUCAGUGAUGCAUUGGCUUGUGGCCAAUGCAGUGCUGCAGGGAAACCGUUAAGUUGCCGCCUGGGAAGUACGUACGCAAGUAUGAAACUUAAAGGAAUUGGCGGGGAGCACCACAAGGGUGAAGCCUGCGGUUC